rnacentral:pre_miRNA from 1 species
CGCCAGAGUCUGAACCAGAAGAGAGAGAGCACCGCCUCUCAUAUUUGAUCCAUCUCGCAUAUUUGGAGUGGAGAAGAGGAGGUGCUCUCUCUCUUCACGUUCUGGCG